rnacentral:rRNA from 1 species
UACGUAGGCAGCGAGCGUUGUUCGGAGUUACUGGGCGUAAAGAGUGCGUAGGCGGUUUUUUAAGUUUGGUGUGAAAUCUCCCGGCUUAACUGGGAGGGUGCGCCGAAGACUGGAAGGCUUGAGUAUGGGAGAGGUAAGCGGAAUUCCUGGUGUAGCGGUGAAAUGCGUAGAUAUCAGGAGGAACACCUGCGGUGUAGACGGCUUACUGGACCGUCACUGACGCUGAGGCACGAAAGCGUGGGGAGCAAACAGG